GUCAGAGGUGCCAAGCGUUAGGCGGAAUCACUGGGCUUAAAGCGUGUGUAGGCGGAUCGUUAAGUACCUUGUGAAAUCCCACGGCUCAACCGUGGAACUGCUGGGUAUACUGGCGAUCUUGAGCCACCUAGGGGCGAGCGGAACAAGCGGUGGAGCGGUGAAAUGCGUAGAUAUCGCUUGGAACGCCAAUGGUGAAAACAGCUCGCUGGGGGUGUGCUGACGCUGAGACACGAAAGCCAGGGGAGCGAACGGG
rnacentral:rRNA from 1 species